AACGAACGCUGGCGGCAUGCCUAACACAUGCAAGUCGAACGGGAUCCUAGCUUGCUAGGUGAGAGUGGCGGACGGGUGAGUAACACGUGGGAAUCUGCCUUUUGGUUCGGGAUAACCGCGGGAAACUGCGGCUAAUACCGAAUGCCCUCGAGAGAGGAAAGAUUUAUCGCCAGAAGAGGAGCCCGCGUCCGAUUAGGUAGUUGGUGGGGUAAAGGCCUACCAAGCCGACGAUCGGUAGCUGGUCUGAGAGGAUGAUCAGCCACACUGGGACUGAGAUACGGCCCAGACUCCUACGGGAGGCAGCAGUGGGGAAUAUUGGACAAUGGGGCGGAACCCUACGAUCCAGCAAUAGCCGCCGUGAGUGAUGAAGGA
rnacentral:rRNA from 1 species